rnacentral:rRNA from 1 species
AUGGGGAGUAACUCACAUCAGAUACAAGCAGAUAUGAAAGCUGAAGUGGGGAAUAGAUCGUCUAAUGGCGCCGGCUUGCACUUGCAGGGACCAGCCACCGCGGCACUGCUGCCGGACCUAGGCAGGGUAGGGUGCGGCGCAGUCGCACGCACAGGGUGGUGGGAGCCACCGACGAGCGAGAUGGAGAUGGAGGCACCGGGCGCGGAGGUUGCGAUGCACGAUUGCCACUGCCCCCAAUCUGAUGGAGACGAGUCCCGCGCCCAGCGACCAUGCCGAGCUCGAGCGGAUCCUUGGGCACUUCAGCGACAGACUCGACGAGGAGGGGCCGAGAAGAUUGGGGGGAGUGCGAGCCUGCGAGACCUCGCUCCGGUGAUGGGGACGAAGAGGAUGGGCGGCCUGAGGAGGUAG